CAGCAGUGAGGAAUAUUGGUCAAUAGCCUAACGGCUGAACCAGCAACUUGGAGGAAUGUAUAGGUAAAGCUAAAUGUAUUUUUUAGUAGUAAUACAUAUUCGAUUUAUUCGUAUAAAGUUCUAGAUAGAAUUAUGAUAAUGACAUUGUCUAUCUAUAAGUCUUGGCCAAGCUACGUGCCAGCAGUCGCGGUAAGACGUAAAAGACUAGUGUUAUUCAUCUUUAAUAGGUUUAAAGCGUACCUAGACGGUAAAUCAAGCCUUAAGGGGACUAAUUUAACUAGAGUUAGAUGUAAGGGUGCAUAAACGUACUGUUGUGUGUAGAGAUGAAAUUCUUUUAUACCAGAUUAUUGGCACGGGUUAAGGCGAAAGCAUCACCUUAUGUAAUAACUGACGUUGAGAGACGAAGGCUUUGUGUCGCGAACAGGAUUAGAUACCCUAGUAGUCUAAGCAGAAAAUGAUGAGUGUCAUAGGCUAAAUAUUAUUUGGUCUAUAAAUGAAAGUGUAAGCAUUCCACCUCAAGAGUAAUUUGGCAACAUUGGAAUUGAAAUCAUUAGACCGUUUCUGAAACCAGUAGUGAAGUAUGUUGUUUAAUUAGAUAAUCCACAAAGAACCUUACCACAAUUUGAAUAUUUUACAAGUGUUGCACGGCUGUG
rnacentral:rRNA from 1 species